CACGUUAUCCGGGUUCGCACAUGUAAUUAAUGUACUAGCUUUACUGACCAAAUCAUUCAUUUGUGUCAAUGCAUCUAUUGUACCCUCCUAUAGGAUAUAACACAUCCAGCUUCAGAUUCCUAUUACUUUCUGGUGACAACCCAAGAAGGAAACUCGUAAUCCCUACAAAGUUAGCACUAAGAGCGACCACAGAAGCUGACCCCAAACCAACUAGGAGCCGCCGCUAGAACCUGGAUGCCAGCAGUGCAAACUGCUCUGCCGGAGACCUCUCUACCUUGAUCGUUACCACUUGCAAGGCCGCUUUCCGGUUGCUGGAGAAUUAUGGGUGUGGAGAGGUUCAGCGUGGUGGAGAAGCCGGCGUCCGAUUGUGAUUUCGGUUGGCUCAACGGGUUCCUAUCCUACCCAAAUUCCCACAUUGGGACCAGCGCCUCCGGGAGCUUCCAGAACGAGGGUUUGGUGGCCGAUACUAGUGCGAGCAGCAGCGACGCCGAGUUUGUGCUUUCGAGGGGCGAGUCUGGACGAGUCAACUCGCCGGGACGAUGUAGUUUUAUCAGAAGCUUUGACGGUGGGCUUGAGGUCGAUGAAGAUUGUGCUUGGGACGUGCUUGCCGGCGCGGGUCUCGGAGAAGAAGGUGUUGUCGCUCGGCAACUGGCCGUUUGGCUGGAGAGAGAGAGAGAGAGAAAUCGCAACUACUCGUGCGAGACUGCCAGCCAGACCCUGGCAUGGAUCAACGCCAUCAUCGACUUCAUAAAACCCUUCUCUUUCUUGACCAACGCUCGAGUCGUCAAUUUCUUCAAGGAUAGACUGUGGGAGGCGAUUGAUGAGGAAUGGAUGGAUUGCUUACGGGAGGAAGCAGUCGAAAAUCUGCUCCAAAUUCCUCGCGGAGCGGUGCAGGAUCACUGGCCGGCUUCGCUGAAGGAAUUUAUUGUUACUUUGAGGUCUCUUGCGCUUCCUCGACAGCAGGCCGACUUGCAGGCGGUAUUGCCUGGAAUGUGCAUGACUUCACUCAACAGUGUUCUUUCGACGGGCAUGAAUUCGAAAAAGAAACAUGAAGUAGAAGUUCUUUCUGCUGUUGUCAGUUCAGUUGCAAACAGCAUCGGUGCUCACGCAAUAAUUGAUGUUGGUGCUGGUCAGGGGUAUCUUGCACAAGUACUUUCCUUCCACUACCAACAUUCGGUAAUUGCAAUUGAUGCCUGCUCUCACCAUGGAAGGGUUACCAAUGCACGAGCAGAGCAAAUCAAGAAGCAUUAUGCUGCUCAGAUGCGUAAAUCUGUAGCAGGAAACAGGAGUUUGAAUGUGCCUAAGACAGUCACAUGCAAUGUGAUGUCUAUUGACAUGUUAAAAGCUUUGGCUGAUACAUCACUGCAUAAAGAUAAUGCCUCUCUACUACAAUCUUCCUGCAAUGCAGAUUGUGAAACAUCAUUGGUUCUUGCUGGGCUUCAUGCUUGUGGAGAUCUUUCGGUGACGAUGCUCAAGACCUUUAUGGAGUGCGAAGAGGUUAAAGCAGUUGUUAGUGUUGGCUGCUGUUACAACUUAUUGUCUGAAGAGGGUUUCAACCAUGUGGGGUCUCAAUGUGGUUUUCCCAUGAGUUGUGGUGUUAAAGCUGCUGGCUUGUCACUUGGGAAAAGUUCGCGUGACCUUGCUUGUCAAAGUGCAGAGAGAUGGAGUUGUCUGGAAAAUGAUGCCGGUCUCCAUAAUUUUGAGUUGCAUACUUUCCGCGCUGCUUUUCAGAUGGUUUUGAGUCUAUAUUAUCCUGAAGUUGUGAUAACCAGUCCAUCCAUUGGGCGUCAAGGGAAGGCUUUGCGUCGCCAGCAACGAAGGGGCAUUCCAGACUCUGCGAAUCCGAAAGAAAGCACAUGUUCAACAUUGCCUCAAUUAGCUUGUAAUAUGAAAGAAAGUGGCUCUCACCUAAGAACCACAAAAAUCAAAGAAGAUGACAGUUUUGAGAUGGAGUUUGAGACGACAGCCAUAGGCAAUGGACAUUCAUCUAGUAAGGCCACGCAAUGUGAGGGGACUCCACACAUUAGCAAAUAUCCACUUUUUAAGAAAUACUGUUUAUCUGGAUUAUGUCGCCUGGGUCUUGAGCCUCCGAAGGAUACAGAUCUCCAUGGAAUAUGGAAGAAAGUUCAGCCUUUUGCUGAACUUAUUGGACCUUAUUGGACUCUUCGAGCUGCUUUCGGGCCUCUUUUGGAAACUUUACUUUUGCUUGAUAGAUUAUUGUUCCUACAAGAGCAAGGCAGUUCAAUUGAAGUAGUCAUGUUACCUAUUUUUGAUCCAGCAUUAUCCCCAAGGAAUGUGGGCAUUAUUGCUAAAAAGUUGACACAAAUUUGACACUGGCAUAAAAUAUAAAACUUGUUGUACGACUACGAACUUAUUAUCCUGCAAUGCAGAUUUAGACGAUGUAUACAUCAUCCCACUUUAUACAGUCUCCUAGGGCAAGCUGGAUUGAGAAAGACAGGUGUUGUUGCUAACUUCCUAUAGUAAAGCCACUGGGAGGCUCGUGAGAGGGGACACGUAUUAAUAUUUGACUGACUUUUGUCGUUUUCUGGAAUAAUAGGACACGUAUUAAUAUUUGACUGACUUUUGUCGUUUUAUGGAAUAAUAGGACAUUUAAUUCACUUCAAGUUCCUUUUGACUGGGUGGUCACAACCCACAACAGAACAGCAAUGGGACUUUUAGAUAAUGCUUGCUUUGGUAUGAGAAAAAAAACGACAAGGAAAUAGUCGUCGCUGUAGUUUGGUCCAUUUGUAGCUUGGGAUGUACACGAUUGAUCUCAUCUUAUGUGUGUGUGGAAAGCUAGUUACUUGAGUCGAACACAACUUUUUGUGAAUUGAA